AAGCACUCAAUUCCCUUACUGUUCCUAAUUUGACAAUGAAAGUAAAUGUGGAAUGGGCCUAAGGUAGUUAAAUUGUGAGUAGCCAUAUAAAAAUUAUUCAAAUGAGUUAUUAAUGGAAUUGUAUUUGCAGGAUAAAAUAAUUAAACUAAUAGAUAUAUGAUUGUGUACGAUAUUCGGUAAGAUUUGUGUUUUUAUGCUUAUGAGCUUACUAAGCUUCUAUAAGCUUACUUGUGUAUGUGAUUUGUUUUGUAGAUUGACUUAUAUACAUACGGAGAAUCGGAUCUACAUCAAGGGUCACAC
rnacentral:lncRNA from 1 species